AACGAACGCUGGCGGCAUGCCUAACACAUGCAAGUCGAACGAGACCUUCGGGUCUAGUGGCGCACGGGUGCGUAACGCGUGGGAACCUGCCCUUAGGUUUGGAAUACCUCCCCGAAAGGGGUGCUAAUACCGGAUAAUGUCUUCGGACCAAAGAUUUAUCGCCUUUGGUUGGGCCCGCGUUGGAUUAGCUAGUUGGUAGGGUAAAAGCCUACCAAGGCGACGAUCCAUAGCUGGUCUGAGAGGAUGAUCAGCCACACUGGGACUGAGACACGGCCCAGACUACUACGGAAGGCAGCAGGGGGGAAUAGUGGACAAUGGGCGAAAGCCUGAGCCAGCAGUGCCGCGUGAGUGAUGAAGGCCGUAGGGUUGUAAAGCGCUUUUACCCGGGAUGAUAAUGACAGUACCGGGAGAAUAAGCACCGGCUAACUCCGU
rnacentral:rRNA from 1 species